rnacentral:rRNA from 1 species
AACGAACGCUGGCGGCAGGCUUAACACAUGCAAGUCGAGCGCCCCGCAAGGGGAGCGGCAGACGGGUGAGUAACGCGUGGGAACGUACCCUUUACUACGGAAUAGCUCUGGGAAACUGGAAUUAAUACCGUAUGUGCCCUUCGGGGGAAAGAUUUAUCGGUAAAGGAUCGGCCCGCGUUGGAUUGGCUAGUUGGUGGGGUAAAGGCCUACCAAGGCGACGAUCCAUAGCUGGUCUGAGAGGAUGAUCAGCCACAUUGGGACUGAGACACGGCCCAAACUCCUACGGGAGGCAGCAGUGGGGAAUAUUGGACAAUGGGCGCAAGCCUGAUCCAGCCAUGCCGCGUGAGUGAUGAAGGCCUUAGGGUUGUAAAGCUCUUUCACCGAUGAAGAUAAUGACGGUAGUCGGAGAAGAAGCCCCGGCUAACUUCGUGCCAGCCGCCGCAGUAACAC